GCACUGGUGGUGUAGUGGUAUCAUGCAAGAUUCCCAUUCUUGCGACCCGGGUUCGAUUCCCGGGCCGUGCA
rfam:Ciona savignyi cont_9206, whole genome shotgun sequence.